GACGAACGCUGGCGGCGUGCCUAAUACAUGCAAGUAGAACGCUGAAGCGAGGAGCUUGCUCUUCUUGGAUGAGUUGCGAACGGGUGAGUAACGCGUAGGUAACCUGCCUUGUAGCGGGGGAUAACUAUUGGAAACGAUAGCUAAUACCGCAUAACAAUGGAUGACACAUGUCAUUUAUUUGAAAGGGGCAAUUGCUCCACUACAAGAUGGACCUGCGUUGUAUUAGCUAGUAGGUGAGGUAAUGGCUCACCUAGGCGACGAUACAUAGCCGACCUGAGAGGGUGAUCGGCCACACUGGGACUGAGACACGGCCCAGACUCCUACGGGAGGCAGCAGUAGGGAAUCUUCGGCAAUGGGGGCAACCCUGACCGAGCAACGCCGCGUGAGUGAAGAAGGUUUUCGGAUCGUAAAGCUCUGUUGUAAGUCAAGAACGGGUGUGAGAGUGGAAAGUUCACUCUGUGACGGUAGCUUACCAGAAAGGGACGGCUAACUACGUG
rnacentral:rRNA from 1 species